rnacentral:rRNA from 1 species
UACAGAGGAUGCAAGCGUUAUCCGGAAUGAUUGGGCGUAAAGCGUCUGUAGGUGGCUUUUUAAGUCCGCCGUCAAAUCCCAGGGCUCAACUCUGGACAGGCGGUGGAAACUACCAAGCUGGAGUACGGUAGGGGCAGAGGGAAUUUACGGUGUAGCAGUGAAAUGCGUAGAUAUCGUAAGGAAGACCAGUGGCGAAGGCGGGUCUCUGGACAGUUCCUGACACUGAGACACGAAGGCCAGGGGAGCAAACGGG